rnacentral:rRNA from 1 species
AGAGUUUGAUCCUGGCUCAGAACGAACGCUGGCGGCAUGCCUAACACAUGCAAGUCGAACGGUGGCUUCGGCCAUAGUGGCGCACGGGUGAGUAACGCGUGGGAAACUGCCCAUCAGUGGGGAAUAACAGAGGGAAACUUCUGCUAAUACCGCAUACGCCCUUCGGGGGAAAGAUUUAUCGCUGAUGGAUGUGCCCGCGUCCGAUUAGGUAGUUGGUGGGGUAAAGGCCUACCAAGCCUACGAUCGGUAGCUGGUCUGAGAGGAUGAUCAGCCACACUGGGACUGAGACACGGCCCAGACUCCUACGGGAGGCAGCAGUGGGGAAUAUUGGACAAUGGGCGAAAGCCUGAUCCAGCAAUGCCGCGUGAAUGAUGAAGGCCUUAGGGUUGUAAAGUUCUUUCGGGUGGGACGAUGAUGACGGUACCACCAGAAGAAGCCCCGGCUAACUUCGUGCCAGCAGCCGCGGUAAUACGAAGG